rnacentral:rRNA from 1 species
CCCAUGCUCUACAUUUCUGGUUGAUCCUGCCGGACUGACUGCUAUCGGAUUGGUACUAAGCCAUGCGAGUCAUUGUAGCAAUACAAGGCGGACGGCUCAGUAACACGUAGUCAACCUAACUCGUGGACGUGGAUAACCUCGGGAAACUGAGAAUAAAACACGAUAGAUCAUAGUGCCUGGAAUGGCUUAUGGUCCAAACAGUUUACUGCCAUGGGAUGGGACUGCGGCCUAUCAGCUUGUUGGUGAGGUAAUGGCCCACCAAGGCGAUUACAGGUACGGGCUCUGAGAGGAGAAGCCCGGAGAUGGGUACUGAGACACGGACCCAGGCCCUAUGGGGCGCAGCAGGCGAGAAACCUUAGCAAUGUGCGAAAGCACGACUGGGUCAGUCCGAGUGAUUCCUGAUAAAGGAGUCUUUUGCUUGUCCUAAAAGCACAAGUGAAUAAGGGGUGGGCAAGUCUGGUGUCAGCCGCCGCGGUAAUACCAGCACCUCGAGUGGUCAGGACGUUUAUUGGGCCUAAAGCAUCCGUAGCCGGCUCUGCAAGUCUUCCGGUUAAUCCACCUGCUCAACAGAUGGGCCGCUGGAGAUACUACAGAGCUAGGGAGUGGGAGAGGCAGACGGUAUUCCGUGCGUAGGGGUAAAAUCUCUGAUCCAUUGAGGACCACCAGUGGCGAACGCGGGCUGCCAGAACCCGUUCGACCGGUG